rnacentral:lncRNA from 1 species
CUUUGUCCUUUCUUUUUCCACCCUUAUUUUAUCUUUUCCUUCCUUUUCGGCUUUUCAUCUCUCCCUCCUCCCAUUUUACCUACCUCACAUUUACCCUUACGUAUACUCUGCCUCCCCCUAACUCCUUUCCAACUCCCUCCCUUUUUUCAUUUAUUUAUUAACAAUUACCUCUUUCCGUAUUCCUCUUUCCUCAUUCCUUUCUUAUUUCCUUCCUUCCUUUAUUUUCCUUUAUUCUUC